UCUAGUCUGGCAUGGUAAAGAGACAUGAGAGGUGUAGAAUAAGUGGGAGGCCCCCGGCGCCCCCCCGUCCCCGCGAGGGGGCGGGGCGGGGUCCGCCGGCCUUGCGGGCCGCCGGUGAAAUACCACUACUCUGAUCGUUUUUUCACUGACCCGGUGAGGCGGGGGGGCGAGCCCCAAGGGGCUCUCGCUUCUGGCGCCAAGCGCCUGGCCGCACGCAAAACAUGCCAAAAUGUAA
rfam:Chlorocebus sabaeus isolate 1994-021 chromosome 15, whole genome shotgun sequence.